rnacentral:rRNA from 1 species
CCUACGGGUGGCAGCAGUGAGGAAUAUUGGUCAAUGGACGAGAGUCUGAACCAGCCAAGUAGCGUGAAGGAUGACUGCCCUAUGGGUUGUAAACUUCUUUUAUAUGGGAAUAAAACGUUCCACGUGUGGGAUUUUGUAUGUACCAUAUGAAUAAGGAUCGGCUAACUCCGUGCCAGCAGCCGCGGUAAUACGGAGGAUCCGAGCGUUAUCCGGAUUUAUUGGGUUUAAAGGGAGCGUAGGAGGAUUGUUAAGUCAGUUGUGAAAGUUUGCGGCUCAAACGGAAAAUUGCAGUUGAAACUGGCAGUCUUGAGUACAGUAGAGGUGGGCGGAAUUCGUGGUGUAGCGGUGAAAUGCUUAGAUAUCACGAAGAACUACGAUUGCGAAGGCAGUUCACUGGACUGCAACUGACACUGAGGCUCGAAAGUGUGGGUAUCAAACAGGAUUAGAUACCCCAGUAGUC